GCAGUCGAGCGAAUGGAUUAAGAGCUUGCUCUUAUGAAGUUAGCGGCGGACGGGUGAGUAACACGUGGGUAACCUGCCCAUAAGACUGGGAUAACUCCGGGAAACCGGGGCUAAUACCGGAUAACAUUUUGAACUGCAUGGUUCGAAAUUGAAAGGCGGCUUCGGCUGUCACUUAUGGAUGGACCCGCGUCGCAUUAGCUAGUUGGUGAGGUAACGGCUCACCAAGGCAACGAUGCGUAGCCGACCUGAGAGGGUGAUCGGCCACACUGGGACUGAGACACGGCCCAGACUCCUACGGGAGGCAGCAGUAGGGAAUCUUCCGCAAUGGACGAAAGUCUGACGGAGCAACGCCGCGUGAGUGAUGAAGGCUUUCGGGUCGUAAAACUCUGUUGUUAGGGAAGAACAAGUGCUAGUUGAAUAAGCUGGCACCUUGACGGUACCUAACCAGAAAGCCACGGCUAACUACGUGCCAGCAGCCGCGGUAAUACGUAGGUGGCAAGCGUUAUCCGGAAUUAUUGGGCGUAAAGCGCGCGCAGGUGGUUUCUUAAGUCUGAUGUGAAAGCCCACGGCUCAACCGUGGAGGGUCAUUGGAAACUGGGAGACUUGAGUGCAGAAGAGGAAAGUGGAAUUCCAUGUGUAGCGGUGAAAUGCGUAGAGAUAUGGAGGAACACCAGUGGCGAAGGCGACUUUC
rnacentral:rRNA from 1 species